rnacentral:rRNA from 1 species
AAACCUGUGAGAAUGCCCUCAAUCCCCCACCCGGGGACGAGGAGCAGGCAUCAGGCACAAACUUUAGCCCAAGACGCCUUGCCAUGCCACACCCCCAAGGGAAUUCAGCAGUGAUAAAUAUUAAGCCAUAAGUGAAAACUUGACUUAGUUAGGGAUAAGAGGGCCGGUAAAACUCGUGCCAGCCACCGCGGUUAUACGAGAGGCCCCAGUUGAUGGACACGGCGUAAAGGGUGGUUAAGGUCCAACAUGAAUAAAGCCAAAAGACCUCUUGGCUGUCAUACGCCCCUGAGUUUCCGAAGCCCACAUACGAAGGUAGCUUUAAUAACAUUCACCUGACCCCACGAAAGCUGAGAAACAAACUGGGAUUAGAUACCCCACUAUGCUCAGCUAUAAACUUAGGCGUUAUUUUACAAUAAACGCCCGCCAGGGUACUACGAGCAUUAGCUUAAAACCCAAAGGACUUGGCGGUGCCUUAGACCCCCCUAGAGGAGCCUGUUCUAGAACCGAUAACCCCCGUUAAACCUCACCACUUCUAGUCAUCCCC